GCAGAGUGCUGGGAUUACAGUCGUGUACCACUACGCCCUGUUACUAUUAUUACACUCACUCUUGUUUUCAACAUGAUGGAGUUCUGGAGAUGGAAAAAGGAAACCCAACCCACUAAGUAACAGGAGAAAAUACACCACAUUUUAGUAUAAUACAAUAAUGUCAGCCUGACCUGUGGUUUGAGUUCUACAAUUUCAUCCUGAGUGCCUCAGGUACUUGAACCCUCUUUAUGGAGUGAGAAGUUUCCAGGUAACAAGAUUCCUAAGACAUGGAGAUAUUUGAAUAUAACUCAAAAGAAUGUUACAUCUGCUGUGCAGUAAUAAUAAAUGUAAUAGCUGUUACCUCUGCUCUAGGGACUGUCAUUUGAUGUUUAACUUUCAUAAUAACUCUAUGGAAAAAGGAUUAUUACCUCCAUUUUGAAAAGAAUGAAGGAUACUCAGGAGGGGUAAGUGGCUUGCCUAAGGUCAUGUAAUUAAUAAGAGGUGGUGCUGAAAUUCAAACUCAGGUUUAUCUAGCUCUGGAGCCUCUGUUCUAAUCACUGUA